rnacentral:rRNA from 1 species
CCUACGGGAGGCAGCAGGGGGGAAUAUUGGACAAUGGGGGAAACCCUGAUCCAGCAAUGCCGCGUGCGUGAAGAAGGCCCUAGGGUUGUAAAGCGCUUUCACCUGCGAGGAUGAUGACAGUAGCAGGAGAAGAAGCCCCGGCUAACUUCGUGCCAGCAGCCGCGGUAAUACGAAGGGGGCGAGCGUUGUUCGGAAUUACUGGGCGUAAAGGGCGCGUAGGCGGUCUUUUAAGUCAGGCGUGAAAGCCCCGGGCUCAACCCGGGAACUGCGCUUAAGACUGGAAGACUAGAAAACGGAAGAGGGUAGUGGAAUUCCCAGUGUAGAGGUGAAAUUCGUAGAUAUUGGGAAGAACACCAGUGGCGAAAGCGGCCACCUGGUCCGAUUUUGACGCUGAGGCGCGAAAGCGUGGGGAGCAAACAGGAUUAGAUACCCUGGUAGUCCACGCCGUAAACGAUGUCUGCUAGAUGUCGGGGGGUUGCCCCUCGGUGUCGCCACUAACGCAUUAAGCAGACCGCCUGGGAAGUACGGUCGCAAGAUUAAAACUCAAAUGAAUUGACGG